rnacentral:lncRNA from 1 species
AAAAGCUUCAACCGUCUAAAAAAAGCUUCAACCAGUAUACGACGGGAGCUAUGGAUGACCAACAAAAGUUACAACCGGUGACAAAAAAAGUUUCGUCUAGCAACGAAAAAAGCUUCAUCCGACUAUGAAAAAAGUUUCAACUGUGAAGGCGAAGCCAUGGACGAAAAACGAAAAGUUGCAACCGGCAGUUACAAAAGUUAUAACCGCAUUGAAAGAAGUUUCAAACAUCUUAUCUCAGCUGCGACCCGCGAUGACAAUGACACCGUUUUGCUGCAACUGUCGUAGAAAUUUGCUACCACCAGCGAUUGAAAUUGCUACAACCAAGAUUUCAUAGCUGAUGUUGCUCCUUCACCAAGCUCCGAGGCCAUGGAUGCUGCUGCUCCACCAAGCUCCGACACCCCCAGCGGCACUAUGGGAGAGCAGUAGAACGUGCAGACAACCAUGGAUGCCUUAACAAAGGAAGUGAA